rnacentral:lncRNA from 1 species
CUUAAAGAAAGCUGCAAAAGCCUGAUCAUGGAAAUGGUUGGGUACAACAUAUUGUCUUCCUGACUGGUGGAGGUGGCUGUCCCUCCAAGCUCUCAGCUCGUGGAGUGCCACAGAAUGCUUUUGGCAUUCACCUGGUAAAGGUGAAAUUGCUCAAAAAUUGAUCUGAGUGCAGAGUGGAGAGACCAUGGAACCUCAAAUACUUCAAACACUGUAAUCUCGAGUUACAGUCCCACUGAAAAAUUCUGGUGGAGCACCUGUGUGUUCUUCCAGGAGACUUCAGCAGCUUCUAUACCUUCUAUAGUGAACUGUGUGGAAAAGAGCUGUUCUGUGCCAGGUGUGAGAAUAGCAAAAUGUCUAAAGCUGGAAAUAAAAUGGGAAAGAUUUGCAGUGCCCAUUGAAGAGGUGAAGACUUAG